rnacentral:rRNA from 1 species
CCCGGUGUAGCGGUGAAUGCGUAGAUAUCGGGAAGAACACCAGUGGCGAAGGCGCUCUGCUGGGCCAUUACUGACGCUCAUGGACGAAAGCCAGGGGAGCGAAAGGGAUUAGAUACCCCUGUAGUCCUGGCCGUAAACGAUGAACACUAGGUGUCGGGGGAAUCGACCCCUUCGGUGUCGUAGCUAACGCGUUAAGUGUUCCGCCUGGGGAGUACGCACGCAAGUGUGAAACUCAAAGGAAUUGACGGGGGCCCGCACAAGCGGUGGAGUAUGUGGUUUAAUUCGAUGCAACGCGAAGAACCUUACCAGGGUUUGACAUCCUGCGAACCUCUUAGAAAUUUGAGGGUGCCUUCGGGAAUGCAGUGACAGGUGGUGCAUGGCUGUCGUCAGCUCGUGUCGUGAGAUGUUGGGUUAAGUCCCGCAACGAGCGCAACCCACGUUUUUAGUUGCCAGCAUUUAGUUGGGCACUCUAGAAAGACCGCCGGUGAUAAACCGGAGGAAGGUGUGGAUGACGUCAAGUCAUCAUGCCCCUUACACCCUGGGCUACACACGUACUACAAUGCUACGGACAAAGGGCAGCAAACUCGCGAGAGCUAGCAAAUCCCAUAAACCGUGGCUCAGUUCAGAUCGUAGGCUGCAACUCGCCUACGUGAAGUAGGAAUCGCUAGUAAUCGCAGGUCAGCAUACUGCGGUGAAUACGUUCCCGGGCCUUGUACACACCGCCCGUCACACCAUGGAAGUUGGCCAUGCCCGAAGUCGUUACUCCAACCCUUGUGGAGGAGGACGCCGAAGGUGGGGCUAAUGACUGGGGUGAAGUCGUAACAAGGUAGCCGUACCGGAAGG